rnacentral:rRNA from 1 species
UACGUAGGGUGCGAGCGUUGUCCGGAUUUAUUGGGCGUAAAGAGCUCGUAGGCGGUUUGUCGCGUCGGCCGUGAAAUCUCCACGCUUAACGUGGAGCGUGCGGUCGAUACGGGCAGACUUGAGUUCGGUAGGGGAGACUGAAAUUCCUGGUGUAGCGGUGAAAUGCGCAGAUAUCAGGAGGAACACCGGUGGCGAAGGCGGGUCUCUGGGCCGAUACUGACGCUGAGGAGCGAAAGCGUGGGGAGCGAACAGG